UUUCUAUUUUGUUGGUUAGGCGCUGGUAGCUUGUAUGUUCAGGCGUCUGCUUUCAACAUCAUGUCUGAAGUGAUAAAGCGGGACCAAAUUGUGCAAGAAAUAUAUAGUACUGAAAAAGUGUAUACUUCUUAUCUUAAUUUGGUAGUGCAACUAUUUCUGUGUCCUCUUCGAGUGUCUUGUUUAUUGCCUGACACAGUUCUUAGUGCAAUGUUUGCUAACAUUGAAGCUAUUCUGGCUAUAAACAUGGAACUUGUUAUUGCAAUGAGGGAAAUGUCAGUUGGGAAUGCUUUUCUUCGUUUGGCUCCUUUCCUCAGACUUUACUCUCUUUAUGCAAAUAACUUCCAAAGAGCGAAUCAACUUGUUUUGGU